rnacentral:rRNA from 1 species
AACGAACGCUGGCGGCAUGCCUAACACAUGCAAGUCGAACGAGAACUCCGGGUCUAGUGGCGCACGGGUGCGUAACGCGUGGGAACAUGCCCUUAGGUUCGGAAUAACUCCCCGACAGGGGUGCUAAUACCGGAUAAUGUCUUCGGACCAAAGAUUUAUCGCAUUUGGAUGGGCCCGCGUUGGAUUAGCUAGUUGGUAGGGUAAAAGCCUACCAAGGCGACGAUCCAUAGCUGGUCUGAGAGGAUGAUCAGCGACACUGAGACUGAGACACGGCCCAGACUCCUACGGGAGGCAGCAGUGGGGAAUAGUGGACAAUGGGCGAAAUCCUGAUCCAGCAAUGCCGCGUGAGUGAUGAAGGCCUUAGGGUUGUAAAGCUCUUUUACCCGGGAUGAUAAUGACAGUACCGGGAGAAUAAGCUCCGGCUAACUCCGUG